GUAUCGGCGAGUACUUGAAAAAAAGUAUCGGUACUUGUACUCGGUCUUAAAAAAGUGGUAUCGGGACAACCCUAUUUAGAACUCAUGGAGAUAAGUUCUAUAACUACAUGAGGAUGUCGGUGGAGAGUUUUGACGAAUUGGGACUUGUUCGAGGAUGCCUCAUCAGACACAGGACCAACAUGAGACGAUGUAUUAGUGAGGAAGAACGGCUGUUACUUACCUUAAGAUACCUUGCCACUGGAGCAAGUUUUACCUCCCUUCAUCAUCAGUUCCUGGAAAUUUCAGUAUACUAUAGUACAUGACACCUGUAUUGCCAUUUGGGAGGAGCUGCGGACCACAGUAAUGCCGGAACCAACAGCCAGUCUGUGGGAAGAGAUAACGGAGGAAUUGUGGGAAAAGACAAUCUUCCCAAAUUAUAUAUGAUCUUUAGACGGGAAACAUAUCAGGCUAAUCAAGCCACCAAACUCAGGUUCCCGAUAUUUUGAUUACAAAAAAUACUUCUCCAUUGUCCUGGGACUGAGUGGACAUUGGAGCUAAUGGGAGAUUCGAGAAUUUUCAGGAAUUCCAUGAUGGACCAGCGUUUACAGUAUGGAGAGUUUAAUGUACCGCAGUCAAGACCUCUACCUGGUACUGCUGGACCGGAUCUGCCCCCAGUAGUGCUAGGUGAUGAGGCAUUUGCCCUAUCCACUCGCCUCCUCAGGCCCAAUACGAGGCAGUUUCUUACUGCCAAGAAGCAAAUUUUUAACUAUCGUCUGAGCCGUGUACGCGGAAUGGUGGAGUGCGCAUUUGGUAUUUGUACCGCCAAAUGGCGUGUACUGUUGACUGCAGUGCACCUUCAUGUAGAUCACGUGGUCAAUGUGGUUUUGGCAUGCUGUGUUCUUUAUAACUUUCUAAGGGGAAAGGAGAUUGUGCCAAAUGAAUCCCAGUUACCUGUUUGUGAAGAACACAGAGGGAGUGUUACUACCAGUUGCCCAAGAAAUUAUGCGCUACAAGUCCGUGAACAUUUUUGUGAUUAUUUCCUUACUGACGAUGGACAGCUACCGUGGCAGUAUGAUUAUGUUUAGUAUUUUCUUUGCAUAACCUUCUGGUGAAGAUGGAUAGCUACUGUGGCAGUAUGAUUAUGCUUAGCAUGUUCUUUGUUACUCAUUUGCAUCAACCUUCUUGUUAUCACUGUUUAAUUUUUUUUAUGAAAUAAAGUAGUUAACAACUUUUGUCCAAUUAAA